GUACUUUUAGUAAGCAAUAAAGAAAUACUUUUUAUUUGCCAAAUACAGCUAUUAAAAUAUUAGAAACCACUACUAAAAGUGAUUGCGAUGGGUAUAUUAAACCUGUUGGAAAGGCUUUCUGUGCGAUUGGCGCGAGGUGUAACUAUCAAGGAUUAAAUAUUUGGGACGUGGGACAAGAGCAGUGCAGACGUACGGAAAAGGGUUUGCCUGCAUUUUUGAAAAUCAGGGUCGGAAAAUGUCCUUUGAAUAAACCAGCUUGCGCGAAAACUACAUAAAUGUAAGGAUACAAAAUGAUUUGAUACCUCGAAGAAUUUUAAACUAUUUUUCAAUAAAAUAAUUAUUUGUUUCUUUA